rnacentral:rRNA from 1 species
GGAGGAUCCAAGCGUUAUCCGGAUUUAUUGGGUUUAAAGGGUGCGUAGGCGGCUUAUUAAGUCAGGGGUGAAAGACGGUGGCUCAACCAUCGCAGUGCCCUUGAUACUGAUGAGCUUGAAUACACUAGAGGUAGGCGGAAUGUGACAAGUAGCGGUGAAAUGCAUAGAUAUGUCACAGAACACCGAUUGCGAAGGCAGCUUACUAUGGUGUGAUUGACGCUGAGGCACGAAAGCGUGGGGAUCAAACAGGAUUAGAUACCCUGGUAGUCCACGCCCUAAACGAUGAAUACUCGCUGUUAGCGAUACACAGUUAGCGGCUAAGCGAAAGCGUUAAGUAUUCCACCUGGGGAGUACGGUC